rnacentral:tRNA from 1 species
GCAGUGGUAGCUCAGCUGGAUAGAGUAAUCGGCUACGAACCGAUCGGUCGGGGGUUCGAAUCCCUCCCACUGCACCA